CGACAUCCGUGGUCUGGGGCCCGACAUGGCGCGGCUGCGCCCGCCGCUGAAGACCAUCACCUUCAUCGGCAUGAUGUUCAACUCGUCGAAUGCCGACC
rnacentral:tRNA from 2 species